AGAGUUUGAUCCUGGCUCAGGAUGAACGCUGGCGGCGUGCCUAACACAUGCAAGUCGAGCGAUUCUCUUCGGAGGAGAGCGGCGGACGGGUGAGUAACGCGUGGGUAACCUGCCCUGUACACACGGAUAACAUACCGAAAGGUAUGCUAAUACGAGAUAAUAUGCUUUUAUCGCAUGGUAGAAGUAUCAAAGCUUUUGCGGUACAGGAUGGACCCGCGUCUGAUUAGCUAGUUGGUAAGGUAACGGCUUACCAAGGCGACGAUCAGUAGCCGACCUGAGAGGGUGAUCGGCCACAUUGGAACUGAGACACGGUCCAAACUCCUACGGGAGGCAGCAGUGGGGAAUAUUGCACAAUGGGCGAAAGCCUGAUGCAGCAACGCCGCGUGAGCGAUGAAGGCCUUCGGGUCGUAAAGCUCUGUCCUCAAGGAAGAUAAUGACGGUACUUGAGGAGGAAGCCCCGGCUAACUACGUGCCAGCAGCCGCGGUAAUACGUAGGGGGCUAGCGUUAUCCGGAAUUACUGGGCGUAAAGGGUGCGUAGGUGGUUUCUUAAGUCAGAGGUGAAAGGCUACGGCUCAACCGUAGUAAGCCUUUGAAACUGGGAAACUUGAGUGCAGGAGAGGAGAGUGGAAUUCCUAGUGUAGCGGUGAAAUGCGUAGAUAUUAGGAGGAACACCAGUUGCGAAGGCGGCUCUCUGGACUGUAACUGACACUGAGGCACGAAAGCGUGGGGAGCAAACAGGAUUAGAUACCCUGGUAGUCCACGCCGUAAACGAUGAGUACUAGCUGUCGGAGGUUACCCCCUUCGGUGGCGCAGCUAACGCAUUAAGUACUCCGCCCUGGGAAGUACGCUUCGCAAGAGUGAAACUCCAAAGGAAUUGACGGGGGACCCGCACAAGUAGCGGAACAUGUGGGUUUAAUUCGAAGCAGCCGCGAAGAACCUUACCUAAGCUUGGAAUCCUUUUUGACCGAUGCCUAAUCCCAUCUUUUCCUCUUGGGGACAAAAAUGACAGGGGGGUGCAGGGGUGUCUCCACCUCCCGCCCGGGAAAAAUUUGGGGUUAAAUUCCCCCACAAAAGGGAAACCCUUGCCCUUUAUUUGCCACCCAUAAAUUUGGGGCUCUUCAAGAGGAUGGCCCGGGAGACCUGGAGGAAAAGGGGGGGGGUGAGGCGGCAAACCACCAUCGCCCCUCUCUUUUAUGGGGUGACCCCCCGCGCACAAAAGGGUGGUUGCAGAGGGGGACCGCAAAUCCUGGAGGCGGGAGGUAACCUCUUAAAGCCAUUCUCAGUUCGGAUUGUAGGCUGAAACUCGCCUACAUGAAGCUGGAGUUACUAGUAAUCGCAGAUCAGAAUGCUGCGGUGAAUGCGUUCCCGGGUCUUGCACACACCGCCCGUC
rnacentral:rRNA from 1 species